rnacentral:rRNA from 1 species
UACAGAGGUCUCAAGCGUUGUUCGGAUUCAUUGGGCGUAAAGGGUGCGUAGGCGGCGCGGUAAGUCGGGUGUGAAAGCCCGGAGCUCAACUCCGGAACUGCCAUUGAAACUGUUAGACUUGAGGAUGAGAGAGGUGAGUGGAAUUCCCAGUGUAGAGGUGAAAUUCGUAGAUAUUGGGAAGAACACCGGUGGCGAAGGCGGCUCACUGGCUCAUUACUGACGCUCAGGCGCGAUAGCGUGGGGAUCAAACAGG